GGUCGGAAAGAGCUUCUAUGCCGGGGAACCAGAACGCCUCCUCCAUGCCACUGAGCCAGGCCCCAAGCUCCAUGGGACAGAAGCUCCUUUAUUUGGGAACUUGCCUUGUGUCUCUCUCCAUGUGGCUGUUAACUUGUAUCCUUUACAGUAUCCUUUCUUAAACUGGUAAAUGUUAAGUGUUUUCCUGAGUUCUGUGAGCCACUCCAGCAAAUUAAUUGAACCUUAGGGGGAGGUCGUGGGAACCCGCUGGUGUUUGAGAACUGCUUGGUCUAAGUAUGUGUGGGAGGACCCCCUCCCACACAUCCUCACACCCACUGGAAUCAGGUCUGGGAACCCUAAUGGAGUUACACUACUAUUACUGCUGUGUAUAAUAUUGUUACUUUUAUACAUACAUGUAGGGGAGAAAUACAUCACCGCAUUUGGUGUCAGAAGAGUGGAGAUCACGGUCUGUGUCCAAUUUCCCUCUUCUGAUAAGGACACUGCUCACUGCAUUAGGACCCAUUCCACUCCAAGAUGAGUUCAUCAUGAUUCUAUCUACAAGACUCUAUGUCCACAUAAAGUCACAUUCACUGGUUCCGGGGAUUCUCUGACUUAAACAUAUCAUUUCGGGGUCACAAUUCAACUCAGAACAGGGCCCUUAAUAUGGACUUGGACUGUCAGGGCAGGCUUCCUGGAGGAAGUGAAAUUGAUCUUUGGAAGCAAGGAGGAGUGGACUUGCUUCUGAAAGAAUGAGGAGGGACAAGUAUGUGUGAAGUCAUAGUAUAUGUGAGGCUAUAAAGGGCACUCAGUCUGGCUGGGGAAAGUAAGAGUGACAUGGAUGCCAAUAAACAUGGGCUGGGUGGCAGAGGGCCCUGCAUUACAUCUUAAGGGGUUUGGAUUCUAUCCUCAGGGUAAUGGGAAGACUGAAAACUUUUAUGCAAGAUACUGACAUGGUCAUCUUCAUAUAGAAAUAUUGCUCUGUGGCUACAUGGAGAAUUGACAGGAGAGGGGCAGCCCAGGGGCUGGGCGACAGGAGGAGGAGAAGUGAGUGCACCAUAGUCACACAACUUGCCCAAGGUUACACAAACAGUGUGUGACAAAGUCAAGAUCGGAACCCUGUCUGCCGGUGCUAAGGACCCUUCCCUUCCCUGCCUGUGGCUGUCUCCCUCAGGGGUUUUUGUGGCACCUUGUCCCCCCGUGACCUCAAUAGCCAAAGGUAUUCACUCUAAAGUGUUUGAUGUAUGGCCCAAUAGACUCAUGGAUCCUUGUAAAAUCUAAUGUUUUGUGUGGAUUCCUGGGAGGCACGUUUGAGGCUUUGCACUGAAACGAAGGCGUGUUGGCAGAUGGCGCCCCCUGGUGGGGGGACAUUUCACCCUCCCUGUCUCCGGCUCGCACACAGAGGAGCGGACUUCAUUCCUGGUUCCCA